GAGAGGGAGGUGGAUGAAGAUAAUGGUGGGAGAGAGAGAGAAGGGGGGAGAACUUGUAUGGGGAGAGGGAGGAGAGGAUUGUAUCUCCCUGCCCUUGAAAAGAGAAAGGCUCCCCUGCUUUCAAUCGUUCACUUGAGUAGGGAGCGUGAUGUGGUGGGGGAAAGAGGAAUGAUGGGUAUCCCUUGGCACUUAUAAGACUAAGCACCUUAAACUGAACUAAUGCACUUUAUUAUUAAGAGGGGAUUUGAAUAGGGUUUUUGUUGUCAGUGUACGUACGGUGUGUGUGUGUAUUGAAUCUACACAAGAGGCUGUACGUAUACACGUGGAAAUCUGAACUGGAAGGGUAAGGUUGGUGGGAUAGAUUCACUGGGAGGGGGAACUCAAAGAUAGAGGGGACCUUUUUAUUUUGAAACCUUAUCAGAAAAACAAAUUCCUUCUUGAAAGACAAACACUGUUGUUUUUUUUACAAUACAUUUAUAUGAAAAGUAAAGCUAUUACAAAAAAAUACAUUUAAAAAAACUUGAAGAUUUGCACUUGUGUUAAAAAAACUAAGAUAAAAAAAUAGAAAAACAAAUGGGGUUAGAGAUUAGUGUGUGUGUGUGUGUGUGUGUGUGUGUGUGUGUGUGUGUGUGUGUGUGUGUGUGUGUGUGUGUGUGUGUGUGUGUGUGUGUGUGUGUGUGUGCGUGCGCAGACUAGUAUGUUUCUAAUGUCUGUUAUGUUUUCUCCAUUGCUUACCAAGAUGUUUGAACACAUACCAGGCCAUUAUGUCAUUUUGUUCAAAUAAGAAUUGAUGUUUUUUCCAUGAGUAGACGUGUCCUCUUGUACAGAGGGACUUUCUUUGUAUCUACGUGUGUAUGAUUGUGUGUGUGACAGAGGGGGCAAUGGCACAACACAUCCUUUCUCUCACCAGCUCUUCAUCCCCAGAGAAACGUAAUAGAAAUACAGACAUUUGUAGAGGAGAAUUAUGGCUUUGCGCUCCUUCAUAUGUUGUUAAAGCACCACUUGUUUCUGGGGUGUUUUGGGGUACGGGCUGAUGGAGCAGUGCCCCUCCCCGCUGUCUUCUCUCAGACACGUGUGUGUGUGUGUGUGUGUGUGCAUAUUUGUGCCUAAGAACUCUGAAAGGGUGAAUGGGAUGGAGGGAAUGUUCGAUGGCCAUUGAGACAUUUACUUUUUGAGUGUGUUAUGUUUAUGUUAACCGCUCUGUAUAGCCCGUGUAUGUCAAUCAUAUAUCCUAAUAUUUCAGGUUUAGUCUGGGGAUGAUGAUUGAUUGGAAGGUUAGUCCAGUUUAGUUUUCCUGGGAUGUGAUCACGUUGCCUUGUCAGUUCUCUUUAACUUGCGUGUGAAAGGUGUGCGGUUUCAGAUUCUGCUCAAAACAAUUAGCAUCACACUGUCCAUGUACAGGAUGGUGCACAAAAUGUUAGCAUAUUCUUGUUACUUAUUCAUUGCUAUUGUUGAUGAUGACGUUUCUUUUUUAGGAAUAUAAAUGAAUAUACAUACAUGAAUAAUCAGUUUAAAAUAAGAAAGUAUUUGGACUGCGAUUAUGAUGAGCACUGCUAUUUUUUUUUUUUUUUUUUUCUCCCUUAAUUUAGUUUUUGUUGCAUUACCGCCAUGUGAAGUGCGUUUUUUAUUUCUUUCUUAAGAAAACAUUGAAUGUAUUCCCAAAAAAGUAAUAAAAAAAAAAACGGGAUUUUUUUUCCUCCACAAAAUGUCUAAAAAUGGAAUCAAAAAAAAAACUAAAAAUCCAAGAUUGAAGAGGUCGGCGAGUUCUUUACUCCUUUUUUUUUUUACACAAAAGAGGAAGAACUUGGGAAGGCUACAGUUGAACACACUGCCUCUGCAAUCCUGUUCGUACAAAAACAAUAUUACUAUGAACAAAUAAAGAACAGACUCUUUACUAUUCCUUACUGGAGUUUUGGUUGUUUACAAAACACGGAUUUCUGUGGGUGCAGUUUUUUUGGGGUUAGGGUGGAUAGUGGGUAAGGGCAGGGUUUUGCAAGUGCGCUUCCGCAAAAUGGACAUUCAGUGGCCUAUGUUGUUUUUGCGGGAAGGAAGAAGGACAUCACAAUGUGACCCUUUAGUGGAUGUGGCUCUUUUGUAACUGACUGAUCAUCGAGGAGUGCAGACGAAAAAUCAAAGAUUGUCUUUUUUUUUCUUUUUUACUGCUUGUAUUGUAACUCAAGGACUAAGUGUUUCUGUUCGUGGAGUAAACUUAAUGAAAAAGCAGAAACAGCAGAGGAGUUUUUGGUACUUAGGACAUAAAGGAAACAACAAUAUCAUCGCUUUAAUAGAGAAGUCUCCUGGAGGAAAAAUAUGGAGUACCUUUUUUUUUUGCUCCUUGAACAUGUAAACGAAACAAAGAUGGACAAACCCGUGAGGAGUGGUUGAGAAUAGAGGAAAUGUAAGAUUUUGUAAAACCUUACAUACAAAUGACAUUGACCUCAAAUCUACCAUUGCAUUCAAUUGGACCGUGUGCAGGCAGAAUUAUUUUUCCUUUUUUGUUUAAAAGGGGUCUCAGGGUGUGCAGUGGGGGUAUUUUAACCCUGCGAUGAGGGGAAAUGAAAGGAUACUACUAGUAUGACCUCUGGGGGACACCCAUCAUCCCUCGUCAACACUCACUGUUGACGAGGGCUGCCCCGACCACUCUCACUAUGCACUUUGGUUCAUUCAAACUGUGAGAUGCCAUCACAUUUGGGAUAGGAGCACAGAAAUAUUGUAGUACAGAGGGAGGGUUUAACAAGAAAUGUAACUUUGAAUGAGUUAAUACCGUCUCACUGAAAACAAGAUUUUCAAAACAAAAGACAGGAACACGCCUUCUCCCUCCUGUACAUAACCAUAUUUUUGUAUUGGGCCUAACUUUAAACAAGAUCACUUGGACAAAACUGCAAGGCUUGAUAUACAACCUAGCAGAAUAAGGAAAUUCACGAGACAUUGAUUUACAGAGUGAAUAACCCUGUGGUAAAUGAAUUACCUGGAAAUUCCCCAAACUUUGCCAGUAGCCCUGUAUGUCUUCAGGGAUAGGGAAAGAAAAGAUUUAACAUGGAUGGAGCUGGGGACUGCAGGGACUCUCAAGACUGAAUGAUGAUCGCUGCUGCAGAGCCCAGCCCAGAGUGUUUGACCAACUGGCACCAGCCAAUGGAGAAGGCAGGGGAGAGACAGUCAGGCGGAUGUAUCAGGGGACCUGCUGCCCAGAUGCCCCCUCCCCAAACUUCUGUCACCUAGCCACUGCCUGGAGAUUGAUCACGAGCUGACAGCAAGAAGACAACCAUCAUAUGGGGUCCUCACUGUUCCUAGCUGCCCUCUGCUGGAGAGGAGAUGGAGAAGCUCCUCAGCCCUUUCCUCUUCCGCUCCCCCUCUGCACCCCUGGUGGUGAAAGAGCAGGAACCACAUCAGCUGCAGUAGGAGAGGACAUGGAACAGUGGAGAAACUGACCACACACACACAGAGCUUUACACGCAUGUCCAUGCAGCAUUCUCAAAUACUCUCUUUUCAAGAACCACAUUCUUGAAAACCACAUUGAAACACACACAAAAGCAGAAAGGCUCAAUACCAUACACUUGAGUUUUGACUGCUAUGUAAAUAAUAUAAAAGUAUUUUCUUUUUUCUGUUCAACAUGCCUUAACUGUGGCGAUCCGCCUUUGUGUGGCAAACUCGAAACAUAUAUUAACAAUAAGAGUGAAAGCCAGUUGGAGAACCUGAUAAGAACUAUAACAUUUGAAUAAGGGGGGGUGGUGUCAAUGUUCUACUUACCUUGACGGCGUUUUAUUGGCCAACAAUACUGCUGUAUGUUACUUUAUUUCUGUCCAGCAUCUAUGGCAACAAAGUAGAACUGAAGGCAAUCCCUGAGGACGAUGAUUAAGACUGAUGGUUUGCCUUUUUUCAAAGCAAGAUUAACUGUUCUGUUAUCCAGUUUUAAAUGCCCAGACAUGUAGCUGAAGAUGCAGGCUGAGGAAUCUGAAGCAUGUGUAUUAUGGAGCUGAGCUGACCAGUAAGGGUGUGUUAAAUAGAUCCAUAUGUUCCUUUACAGUUCUACACAGUGCCCCACAAAGUCAUCUUUUGACCCAAUGAUUUUUGACAGUUUGAGACUUGAUUUGAAAGAAGUGUUUUUAUCCUAUUGAGGACCACCCAUUUAAAAUGAAGGAUAUACAGUGACCUCUGUAGUUAUUGGGAUGUUGAAGCAUUUCUUUCUUAUUUUGGCUCUGCACUCCACAAGUUUGAUUUUAAAUCAAACAAUUAUGAGGUCAAAGCAUUGGUUCUCUGCUUUUAUUUGAGGGUAUUUGUGUGCAUAUUGGUUCCACCAUUUAGAAAUGACAACACUCUUUAUGCAUAGUCACCCCUAUUUCAAGGGACCAAAUGUAUUGGGACAAAUUCACCUAUGUGUAUUAAGGUAGUGAAAAGUGAAACAUUUGGUCCCAUAUUCAUAGCACGCGAUGGUUACAUCAGCAAUGUGACUCUACAAACUUGUUGGAUGCAUUUGCUGUUUGUUUUGGUUGUUUUCAGAUUCAUUUGUGCCCAAUAGAAAUGAAUGGUAAAUGUGUUUUUAUUUGGAAUCACUGUUAUUGUAAAUGGGAAUAUAAGAAUUGUGUUUCUAAACAGUUCUACAUUAAUGUGAAUGCUACCAAUAUUACAGAUAAUCCUGAAUGAGUCAUGAAUAAUGAUGAGUGAGGUCAUACCCCCAAGACAUGCUCACCAAUACAAUAACAGGAGGUAUGAUAUUUGUGCGUUUUUUAACUUUCUCACUCAUCAUUAUUCACAAUUCAUUCAGAAUGAUCUGUAUUCAUGGUAGCAUCCACAUUCAUGAAGUGUUUGUAAACAUUCUUAUUAACAAUGAAAAGUGAUUCUAAAAUGGCCCAACACAUUUACCAUGAAUUUCUUUUGGGCACAAAGUAAUUUGAAACACAACGAAAACAAACAGCAAAUGCAUCCAACUAAUUUGUUUAGUCACAAGCUUGAUGUAGCCAUUGUGUGCUAUAUUCACUUUUUUUUAAUAUUUCACUUUUUACUACUUUAAUAUUCACUUUUUUUAUAUUUCACUUUUUACUACUUUAAUACACACACACAAGUGAAUUUGUCCCAAUACUUUUGGGACGAUGUAUAAAAAGUGUAGUCAUUUGUAAAUGGUGAAACCAAUAUGUACACAAAUGCCCUCAAAUAAAAUCGGAGAAUGUAUAGUUUAACCUCGUAGUAAUUGUUCGAUUUCAAAUCCAAACUUUUGGAGUAUAGAGCCAUAAGAACAAAAAAAUUAUUCACUGUUCCAAUAAUGAGAGGGCACUAUCUCUUCUUGGUCCUCUGAGUAGAUUAUCUUUGUGGAUUGUCUAUUUGACACAACCAGGUUUUCAAUGGAGGAGCUCAAUUCUUCCCCUGUCAGUCAGGUUGAAUGGAUUAAUUGUUUUGUAAGUGUUUUCCAACUGCUUCGGUUGGUCAAACAAAUGAAUAUUAACUUUGGGAGAUGAGACCCUCUACUUUGAGUGGAAUAUAUAUAUAUAUAUAUAUAUAUAUAUAUAUAUAUGGUAGUUUUGAUCAGUUGAUAUAUUAGUUAAUGCAACUGGAGGAAUAUCUAAAAUGUCACUGAAGUAUUUUAUGAAUACUGUGGAUUUUGACUUCAAUCUUUCAACUCCAUCAGUGCGGGAUAAGAAUGCCCUCCAUAAACUGGUAUGCAGUGAACUGUUAAUAUGUAGCGAUCUCAAAAUUAUUAUUCUCUUGAGUUAUAUUUGGGUGUUUCAUUUUUUUAAAGUUGUCAUUGUAAUUGUUGGUCACCUGUUCUGUCAGUGGGUCUGUUCUGUCUUUCUGUUAAUCAUUGAAGAUCAAAGUGAUUGCUGUUUUGGCACUGUGAUGCCCCUGGGUGAGAUUGCCAUGCCUUAGAUGUAAGAAUGAAUUCCAUAAAAAUGUAUGAUUCAUUAACAAACCGAUUUUGAUCAAAUUAUAUCCAUUUUCUUUUUCACCCAAAUGGUCGGCUCAGUUCCAUCGCUUAAACGUUUUGAAUAUUUUAGAGAUGAGUAACAUAAAAACAAAUGCAUUCAGAAAAAUAACCUAAAAAGUGUAAAUAGUUUGGGUUUUGUUGGUUUGACGAGAACAAAAAAUUAUUAAAUAAAAUGCAUUUAACAAUG